CGGCAAUUGGAGAUUGUAAUGACGUAGAAUCAUCCAUUGUGAUGGCUUGGAGAUUGAUUAAGAUUUCUGAUACGGGACGGAUAAUGCCUUAAGAAAUAUAACAAAAGAAUGAAAGGUUAUAAGAAUAUUAGUACGAUAAAGAAACGGGUGUUAAGGAAAGGCAUUAAGUGGUAUACGCGUUGAAGCAAGAAGUCUGUCAUAUUGACUCAUAUCCAGUGGAAAUGCUUUAACUAAAUAUGCACCAUACCAAGAAAGACUUGAUGGAACAUAUCUUAGUAGAAAUAAUUGAUAAAAUACAAUAAAUUGUAACGUGGAUUGUAAGAAAAUGGUUAAGUUACCAUCAUCAAACCUGAUUAGUUUCUUGAAACGUUCUGUAUUGCUUUUUUUUGGAUUUAAAUGAAAUAUUUCUGGUUCUAA